rnacentral:rRNA from 1 species
GACGAACGCUGGCGGCGUGCUUAACACAUGCAAGUCGAACGGAAAGGCCCUGCUUUUGUGGGGUGCUCGAGUGGCGAACGGGUGAGUAACACGUGAGUAACCUGCCCUUGACUUUGGGAUAACUUCAGGAAACUGGGGCUAAUACCGGAUAGGAGCUCCUGCUGCAUGGUGGGGGUUGGAAAGUUUCGGCGGUUGGGGAUGGACUCGCGGCUUAUCAGCUUGUUGGUUGGGUAGUGGCUUACCAAGGCUUUGACGGGUAGCCGGCCUGGGAGGGUGACCGGCCACAUUGGGCCUAAGAUACGGCCCAGAGUCCUACGGGAGGCAGCAGUGGGGAACAUUGCACAAUGGGGGGAAGCCUGAUGCAGAAACGCCGCGUGCGGAAUGACGGCCUUCGGGUUGUAAACCGCUUUCGCCUGUGACGAAGCGUGAGUGACGGUAAUGGGUAAAGAAGCACCGGCUAACUACGUG